GGCUGGUCUCGAACUCCUGACCUUGUGGUCUGCCCGCCUCGGCCCCCCAAAGUGCUGGGAUUACAGGCGUGAGCCACCGCACCCAGCCAAUCUAACCAUUUUCAAGAUUUGAUCUGCAAAUACCUGAAAUUUUGCACUAGCAAAGUGCACUGUUUCAGACAAUCAAGGAAAUAAAACAUUUCUUGAUGAAAUCCUACCUCGCCUCAACAGGAAACUGAAUUGGAGUCCUCAAUUCUCAGUACAUCAGAACUAGUGUGUGAAAGGAUCAGGAGAGGACCAUAGUAUUGGAGAAUAAAACAUUAUGUAUUGAUGGUUGAGCUUUAUGUCAUCGUGUAGUAAAUGCUAUGACCAUAAAGCCAUUACUGUUAACACUUAAGUUUAUCUUCUGAAAGAAGCCUAUGAAAUAUCUCCAGAAAGACUAGGGGAUUUUCUUCUGUUUGUUUGUUUGUUUGUUUGAGAUGGAGUUUGCUCUGUUGCUCAGGCUGGAGUACAGUGGUGCGAUCUCGGCUCACUGCAACCUCUGCCUCCCAGGUUCAAGUCAUUCUCCUGCCUCAGCCUCUGGAGUAGCCAGGACUACGCACUGCGCCACCACACCCAGCUAAUUUUGUAUUUUUGGUGCAGACAGGGUUUCCCCAUGUUGGCCAGGCUGGUCUUGAACUCCUGGCCUCAAGUGAUCCGCCCACCUCGGCCCAAAGUGCUGGCCACCGCGCCCAGUCAGACUUGUUUUUUAGUGAAAUAAAUUGUUUUCCUUUAGGACCUUAUUCUUUAUGAUAACAGAUUCCAAGAAUAUGCAGUCUUGUCAAUGGCUGUUUCAUCCUCAGUUUCUUUAAAAAUAAAAUACAAUUAGAACAUUUUUAGAUAUGCUAUAUCUAUCCAAUCUAUUUUCCUGUCACCCAGUAAGGUUUUCUAUCAUCAGCACAGGUCUAUGAAAGGACAGUAAAGGGUCUCCUGUUACAUACCCUAGCACUAAUGUUUGUAAUAGAAUGUUAAGAUAAGUUGUUUCAUGUAAUCGGACUACAUUCAGUCUUUCUCUACCCUCUGUCCUCUAUUUACCCACCUAUGCAUGUGGCCUACUAAUUAUAUUGACUGUACAUGACCAGCAAGUUGUAAGUUCUUUUAAAAGCAGGAGCUCAACCAUAUUUGUAUUCACAUUUCCUUCUGCUUAAAACAGGGCUCUUGUUUCUUCAGUAAAUAUUCAUUCGGUAUCCACUAGGUGUCAGAUAAUAUACAAGGUAGGUUCUAGGGAUUCCAAGAUAAAUAAACACAGAUAUGCCAAUAUGAGUCUGACAGUUUUGGCGGGGAGAGGUGGAAAAUAGAUCUGCAAGCCAAAAAAGCUACAGUAGAAUAAUAUAAAUAUUGUAAUGGCAAUAAAAUACCAGAACUAUUAAUUUUACAUUUAGUAAUCAUUCAGUAUCAAUUAAAUGGGUAAAAUGGAUAUGUUGGCAUGAAUGACAUAUAACUGAAAAAACACUAAGAACUGUAUAGAAACUGAAUUAGACAUAUGAGUAAUAUUAGUAGGAAGGGGAGAGAAUAUUUGAUUCCAGGUAGGCUACCAAGCAGGAUGUUUUUUCAGCACAGCCUUGGAAUAAAAUCUGUAACCUUUGAAAACAAUCACAUUUUUGUUCUUAUGCAAUCUUUGUUUUUAAAUGUAUUUAUUGUUUUGGCUCUAGUCCCUGAAUGUUAAAAUUUUAGUGUCAGUGUUAAUUCUCACUUAUCUUCUCCAGACCUUACUCCCUAAUUUUCUCAUUUUCAUUUGCCCCAAUAAGUGCCAACCUUACCUUGAAUAGAAUAGUGGAUUUAUCAGCUUACAAGGACUAAAAAGUCGUCAUUUCCAAAAACAUCUGUCCAAUAAGUCUGCCUCAGUGACUACAUUUCUAGCAUUACAAUGUCAUUCUUAGUACACUGAUUUGAUCUUUACAAAUUACAUAAAUGUAUAAAAUUGUCGCAUGUACCCUAAAUUAUAUACAUCUAUUA
ensembl:lncRNA RAB30-DT RAB30 divergent transcript